CCCAAUUAAUAAAACAAGAAGAGUCUCCCAGUCCAGCUUCUAAGAACCUUCUGUUGCUUUAGUGGAAUAGAGCUGGACUAAGUUCCCACCAUUCUCUUCUGCUGCAACGACUGAAUAGGCCGUAUUCUUUACAAAAAGUUGUCAAGAAAGCAUGAACCAGGCCUACACUGAUGCUCCAGGGCUGAACAUCUUGCUCAAACCAUAGCGGGAGCUCAAAAACUAAUUAACUGAGUGAGUAAUUCAGUGAGUCGAUGAGACCCAGAGCCAGUCCUGAGUACUUCUACUUUGGACUUCAAAGCAUCCCUCCUGAGGAGCCAACAGUGCACCCAGGGAAGUGGAUUUUCUAAUCCACCACAGGAGCCCACCUGCUCUCCAUGUUGAUGCUCCUGUCCAGAGACGUAUUCAACUUCCCCAUGUCCAGAAUAAACUGUUUUUACACCUUGACUCUUAAAAAUUUUAUGUUUCAACCUGA